GAUGAACGCUAGCGGCAGGCCUAACACAUGCAAGUCGAGGGAGAGGUUAUCUUCGGGUAACCAAAACCGGCGCACGGGUGCGUAACGCGUAUACAAUCUGCCUUUCACAUAGGGAUAGCCCGAAGAAAUUUGGAUUAAUACCUAAUGGUAUAUAGGAGCGGCAUCGUUUUUAUAUUAAAGCUACGGUGGUGAAAGAUGAGUAUGCGUUCUAUUAGCUAGUUGGAGAGGUAACGGCUCCCCAAGGCGACGAUAGAUAGGGGUUCUGAGAGGGAUGUCCCCCACACUGGUACUGAGAUACGGACCAGACUCCUACGGGAGGCAGCAGUGAGGAAUAUUGGACAAUGGUCGGAAGACUGAUCCAGCCAUGCCGCGUGCAGGAUGAAGGUCCUAUGGAUUGUAAACUGCUUUUGUAAGGGAAGAAUAAGGAGUACGUGUACUUUGAUGACGGUACCUUACGAAUAAGCAUCGGCUAACUCCGUGCCAGCAGCCGCGGUAAUACGGAGGAUGCGAGCGUUAUCCGGAAUCAUUGGGUUUAAAGGGUCCGUAGGCGGGCUGAUAAGUCAGAGGUGAAAGCGCUUAGCUCAACUAAGCAACUGCCUUUGAAACUGUCAGUCUUGAAUGAUUGUGAAGUAGUUGGAAUGUGUAGUGUAGCGGUGAAAUGCUUAGAUAUUACACAGAACACCGACAGCGAAAGCAUAUUACUAACAAUUUUUUUGACGCUGAUGGACGAAAAGCGUGGGGAGCGAACAGGAUUGUAAACCCCGCUAGGCCAAGGGCGAAUACCCCUCUGGAUUUCAAACUU
rnacentral:rRNA from 1 species